rnacentral:rRNA from 1 species
GUAGGAAUCUACCCACGGGUGGGGGACAACUCGGGGAAACUCGAGCUAAUACCGCAUACGCUCUGAGGAGGAAAGCGGGGGAUCUUCGGACCUCGCGCCGGUGGAUGAGCCUGCGUCGGAUUAGCUAGUUGGUAGGGUAAAGGCCUACCAAGGCGACGAUCCGUAGCUGGUCUGAGAGGACGACCAGCCACACUGGGACUGAGACACAGCCCAGACUCCUACGGGAGGCAGCAGUGGGGAAUAUUGGACAAUGGGCGCAAGCCUGAUCCAGCAAUGCCGCGUGUGUGAAGAAGGCCUGCGGGUUGUAAAGCACUUUAAGCGGGGAAGAAGGCUCUUGAGUGAAUAGCUUGAGGGAUUGACGUUACCUGCAGAAUAAGCACCGGCUAACUCCGUGCCAGCAGCCGCGGUAAUACGGAGGGUGCGAGCGUUAAUCGGAAUUACUGGGCGUAAAGCGCGCUAGGCGGUUCGAUCAGUCUGAGGUGAAAGCCCUGGGCUUAACCUGGGAACGGCCUUGGAAACUGUCGAGCUAGAGUGUGGGAGAGGGGCGUGGAAUUUCCGGUGUAGCAGUGAAAUGCGUAGAGAUCGGAAGGAACACCAGUGGCGAAGGCGGCGCCCUGGACCAACACUGACGCUGAGGUGCGAAAGCGUGGGGAGCAAACAGGAUUAGAUACCCUGGUAGUCCACGCGGUAAACGAUGUCAACUAGCCGUUGGGGACAAAUAGGUUUUCAGUGGCGCAGCUAACGCGGUAAGUUGACCGCCUGGGGAGUACGACCGCAAGGUUAAAACUCAAAUGAAUUGACGGGGGCCCGCACAAGCGGUGGAGCAUGUGGUUUAAUUCGAUACAACGCGAAGAACCUUACCUGGCCUUGACAUCCUAAGAAUCCUGCGGAGACGCGGGAGUGCCUUCGGGAGCUUAGAGACAGGUGCUGCAUGGCUGUCGUCAGCUCGUGUCGUGAGAUGUUGUGUUAAGUCCCGUAACGAGCGCAACCCUUGUCCUUAGUCGCCAGCGGGUCGAGCCGGGAACUCUAAGGAGACCGCCGGUGAUAAACCGGAGGAAGGUGGGGAUGACAUCAAGUCAUCAUGCCCUUAUGGCCAGGGCUACACACGUGCUACAAUGGUUGGUACAGAGGGAGGCGAAGCUGCGAAGUGGAGCAAAUCCCAGAAAGCCGAUCUUAGUCCGGAUUGCAGUCUGCAACUCGACUGCAUGAAGUCGGAAUCGCUAGUAAUCGCGAAUCAGAAUGUCGCGGUGAAUACGUUCCCGGGCCUUGUACACACCGCCCGUCACACCAUGGGAGUGGGUUGCACCAGAAGUCGGUAGUCUAACCUUCGGGGGGGCGCUGACCACGGUGUGGUUCAUGACUGGGGUGAAGUCGUAACAAGGUA